UGAGGAAUAUUGGUCAAUGGGUGCAAGCCUGAACCAGCCAUCCCGCGUGAAGGACGACUGCCCUAUGGGUUGUAAACUUCUUUUGUAUAGGGAUAAACCUACCCUCGUGAGGGUAGCUGAAGGUACUAUACGAAUAAGCACCGGCUAACUCCGUGCCAGCAGCCGCGGUAAUACGGAGGGUGCAAGCGUUAUCCGGAUUUAUUGGGUUUAAAGGGUCCGUAGGCGGACUUAUAAGUCAGUGGUGAAAGCCUGUCGCUUAACGAUAGAACUGCCAUUGAUACUGUAAGUCUUGAGUAUAUUUGAGGUAGCUGGAAUAAGUAGUGUAGCGGUGAAAUGCAUAGAUAUUACUUAGAACACCAAUUGCGAUGGCAGGUUACCAAGAUAUAACUGACGCUGAGGGACGAAAGCGUGGGGAGCGAACA
rnacentral:rRNA from 1 species